GGCAGGCCUAACACAUGCAAGUCGAGCGGUAGAGAGAAGCUUGCUUCUCUUGAGAGCGGCGGACGGGUGAGUAAUACCUAGGAAUCUGCCUGAUAGUGGGGGAUAACGUUCGGAAACGGACGCUAAUACCGCAUACGUCCUACGGGAGAAAGCAGGGGACCUUCGGGCCUUGCGCUAUCAGAUGAGCCUAGGUCGGAUUAGCUAGUUGGUGAGGUAAUGGCUCACCAAGGCUACGAUCCGUAACUGGUCUGAGAGGAUGAUCAGUCACACUGGAACUGAGACACGGUCCAGACUCCUACGGGAGGCAGCAGUGGGGAAUAUUGGACAAUGGGCGAAAGCCUGAUCCAGCCAUGCCGCGUGUGUGAAGAAGGUCUUCGGAUUGUAAAGCACUUUAAGUUGGGAGGAAGGGCAGUUACCUAAUACGUGACUGUCUUGACGUUACCGACAGAAUAAGCACCGGCUAACUCUGUGCCAGCAGCCGCGGUAAUACAGAGGGUGCAAGCGUUAAUCGGAAUUACUGGGCGUAAAGCGCGCGUAGGUGGUUUGUUAAGUUGAAUGUGAAAUCCCCGGGCUCAACCUGGGAACUGCAUCCAAAACUGGCAAGCUAGAGUAUGGUAGAGGGUAGUGGAAUUUCCUGUGUAGCGGUGAAAUGCGUAGAUAUAGGAAGGAACACCAGUGGCGAAGG
rnacentral:rRNA from 1 species